UACGAAGGGGGCUAGCGUUGUUCGGAAUCACUGGGCGUAAAGGGUGAGCAGGCGGAUCAUUAAGUCAGGGGUGAAAUCCCGAGGCUCAACCUCGGAACGGCCGUGAAUACUAGUGAGCUUGAGUCCGGAAGAGGUGAGUGGAACUGCGAGUGUAGAGGUGAAAUUCGUAGAGAUUCGCAAGAACACCGGUGGCGAAGGCGGCUCACUGGUCCGGAACUGACGCUGAGGCACGACAGCGUGGGGAGCAAACAGG
rnacentral:rRNA from 1 species